CCCUUAGAUGUUCUGGGCUGCACGCGCGCUACACUGAUGCAUGCAACGAGUUCUAUCCUUGGCCGGAAGGCCUGGGUAAUCUGUGAACGUGCAUCGUGAUAGGGAUAGAUUAUUGCAAUUAUUAAUCUUGAACGAGGAAUUCCUAGUAAACGCAAGUCAUCAGCUUGCAUUGAUUACGUCCCUGCCCUUUGUACACACCGCCCGUCGCACCUACCGAUCGAAGGUAAUGAUGAGCCCUCAGGAUUGUGGCCUCGUCGCGUCAGCGUCUUGGCUGCGAGAAUCUGUGCAAAUCCCUACCUUUAGAGGAAGGUGAAGUCGUANCA
rnacentral:rRNA from 1 species